rnacentral:lncRNA from 1 species
AAGAUUAUAUAUAUGUAUUUAAAUAAAUAAAGCGUAAACUUAAGUUGGUCGGUUGUGAUAGAUUAAUGUAUUUUAUCCGUUGAUGCUGCUGAUGUAUAUAAAGAUUUUCGCAAUGUACAUGUAUGUGUAAUCGAAAAGAGUUUACGUAGAGAAAUUAUUCCUUUAUCAUAAUAUUUUAGAUUAACUUUACGAUUUUGAGACAUGUGGGUGGUAUUCAAUCGCAUUUUGGUAGCAAGAGCAAGAAAGAAAUGAAAGCUGAUAACAAAUGACUCAACAUUAUCUCCCCUGAUGCUUAGUGGUGUAGACCACUUAAUCGCCCAUUCUGUUCACCAACUAGAUGUGGCCAGAAAAAUGCGACAUGGAAGAAAUGAAGAAAAUCGAUUGAGUAAACAAUUGGUAAGCUACAUAUUGCAGUUUUGGUUCAUAUUCGUAUUUAAGAAGGGAGGAAAAAAGGAACGAGCAAAGAUUCUAUCUAUCAGCUUUUGCGGGUUUUUUUCGCAUUGAAUUAUCACAGACAUGAUGGGCAUCAUCAUCACAUCAUCAUCAUGGAGUACAUUUAAACACAUCAGCGAAGCUUAUUCAUCUUUAAUAUCAUCAGCAAGCCAGACAAGUUUUAAAAACUUAAACAGCACUUGUAUCAUAAACAUAUAAAUAUGAUUAAUUCUUAAUCUUGCGACUAAGUGUGUUUAUAACUCGUUUCAAUUUUUGUAUUAUUGUUUUUAUUAUAUGAAAAAAAUAUGAUUAUUUUCACGAAGAUUUCAUGUACAAAAUCAGAU